UACGGAAGGCAGCAGUGGGGAAUAUUGCACAAUGGGCGCAAGCCUGAUGCAGCCAUGCCGCGUGUAUGAAGAAGGCCUUCGGGUUGUAAAGUACUUUCAGUCGUGAGGAAGGUGUUAAGGUUAAUAACCUUAGCAAUUGACGUUAGCGACAGAAGAAGCACCGGCUAACUCCGUGCCAGCAGCCGCGGUAAUACGGAGGGUGCGAGCGUUAAUCGGAAUUACUGGGCGUAAAGGGCACGCAGGCGGUUAAUUAAGUUGGAUGUGAAAUCCCCGGGCUUAACCUGGGAAUGGCAUUCAAGCUGGUUAGCUAGAGUCUUGUAGAGGGGGUAGAAUUCCAUGUGUAGCGGUGAAAUGCGUAGAGAUGUGGAGGAAUACCGGUGGGCGAAGGCGGCCCCUGGGACAAAGGACUGACGCUCAUGUGCGAAAGCGUGGGGAGCAAAC
rnacentral:rRNA from 1 species